CCCCCAUUGUACUAUAUUAAAGUUUUAAUCUGAGGAAAAGUGUACGUAAGGACAAAACACGUACAAUGGGUGAAGUCGGCCUUAAUAAAGAGGACGUAGUGAAUAUUGUAGACAUAGUUGACAUGGUAAAUAUUGUAAAAUAGCGAUCAUGCACUAAUUAAAGGGACCCUCAUGCAGGCAUAGGUGCGAGUCUGCAUGCAGAAACGGGGUCGUGUUUAUGUAUAAACAGCAAGAACGUGACAGUUUUUUUUCCGGUUUGAUAACGUUAAGAGCUACUUUUUAGGCUUAUUGCUAGUUACUGUUCCUUUAGAUCAAGUUUCAUACACGUGCAGUUGUCAACAUUCUAAUUUGUGGGCAUAUAUAUAUGUGUCCUUGGGCAAAACGCUUAACGGCACAAUUACUCCAACCCAGUGGCCACUAAUGAAUUGUCAGUCAUACAAAUAAAGCCACAAACUAAGUAGGUGAUAACUGUAGCUGCACAGUAUAAAAUGGUGGCGCUGUUCUUGCUUUUGUUUGUUAUACUCACUCUAUGUUACGUCGCCCUUUUUCUCACGUUUUGUUCACUCGUGUAACCGUUUAGUUUGACCUUUUUAUAAGUGACGGGACGGCAGGCAGAUCCCUAUUUCAGGCCACUCCAAUUCAUUGCCCUGUAAUUUUUUACCGCUAUUAUGCUUCGAAAAAUAUAAGUUAAGGCCAGAGCGAAGCGCGUAAUUCUUGAGAGUGAAGGAUCUGUUUUAAACAAACUUUCAGCCGCAGCCACAGUAACUGCAAGCAACUUCAACAACUGCCGUUCCGAUAUUGUGAACAUGGGUGAAGCAAGCAAAUUCGUCGAUGUUUCCGCUACCCGCUCUAAAGAUCAUGAUGAAACAUUUCUGAAUGAAUGAAUGAAUGAAUGAAUGAAUGAAUGAAUGAAUGAAUGAA